rnacentral:misc_RNA from 1 species
AACAGCUGAGCGGCUUUGAGCGGCUCGACUUAACCUCAAAUGUGAAACGUGAAACAAGACUGAACGAGAUAAAAACGUGAAAUAUAGUAAAGAUAAUAGCAGAUUUAUAUAUAUAUUUUGUAGUUUUAUUUCCUCUUUCUUAUAUUUUAUAAUUUCUCAACUAGUAAAAAUCUUUCCAAAGAUGCUAUUAAGAUAUGUAACUCCAGUAUUUACUUAUGGGAAAUGUAUACAGAACAAUGUACCAGCAUUGUUUAGUGCUAUUAAUUAUACUGACAUUACACAAGUCAGAUAUAUCAAUAAGCACUGGAAUCCAAAAUUUAAGAAAGAAAGAAGACAAAAAGUUGUAAAAAUAAAACUACCGGACUUUAACGAAAAUGAAGAUAAAGAUUCUACUGAAAUGACCACGGAAGAAAUGAGAUCAAAGAUGAAAGAACAUGGUUAUAUUCCACAGAAACCUUGGCAGGAAAGGCCAGCAUAUAUCAGCUGUACUCCUGCAAUUUUUGAAUCCUAUGUUGCUCCUGAGGGAGAUGGAAAAUAUUCUGCUAUUACGAAAGAGGGUGCAAAGCAAAAGUUUACAUUUUUGGAGAAAAAAGGCAAAUCUUUACUGGCUAUUAGAAAAAUUAAAACAUUUGAUGACUUGUUUAAGACAUCCUAUUUUGUAGAAGAAGCCUUGGAAAUUUAUCAAAAGGCACAUGAAGCUUUAGCUGCUAAAAAUCGGAAGAAAUUACUAGAAUAUGUUACAGAAACAGCAUAUCCUAAAAUAACACAUAAUAUGAUGAAUAAAACUAUACACUGGAAAUUCUUAGAAUCUUUGGAACCAGCUCGCGUUGUACACGCAAGGACUACGGAUGUGAUAUCGAAAGAAAAUAUUUUUGCACAGCUUACUGUUCGGUUCCAUACACAACAGAUGUUAGCAAUUUAUGAUAGGUUUGGUCGUUUAAUACAGGGAAGCGAAAUUCUAAGGAAAGACGUAUUAGAAUACAUAGUGUUCGAAAGACAUAUGGCUAAUGAAUACGGCACUUGGCGAAUUCAUGGUAAAAUUAUACCAUCAUGGAUGACUCCAACGGACAUAGCAGAAAGUACAUACGUAUUGCCGAAAGAGAAACGUGAUCCUGAACCUACGGGGCCGCCCCCAGUGGAAGCUACGUUAGUAGAAGAUACACCAAAGGAUGUAUCAAAGGAUGCGACAAGUACACAACUUGCGUAAACUCAUGACAUGUAAUUUAUAAUUGACCAUAUACCAGGGGGUACAUACUAAUAGUGAUGAUUGAAGUAAUCUGUAAUACUAGUCACAGAAGCACAUCUGUUGCUAUGAUAACGCAUUUCAAUGACCAUGUUAAAGAUGAACAUCAUUUGAGAAGCCAACUAAACUGAAAAAAUUAAGGUGACAUGAUAAAAAUGAUAGAAAUGAGUAUGAUGAUAACGGCGUCCAAGUACCAAUCAGCAAUAAUGGCAGUUUUGAUUUUGACGAUUUUAAUUUACUAAAAUUU